rnacentral:rRNA from 1 species
UGGGGAAUAUUGCACAAUGGGCGCAAGCUUGAUGCAGCGACGCCGCGUGGAGGAUGAAGGUUUUCGGAUUGUAAACUCCUGUUAAGUGGGAAGAAAUGGUGUACUUUAAUACAGUACGCAGCUGACAGUACCACUAGAGAAAGCACCGGCAAACUUCGUGCCAGCAGCCGCGGUAAUACGAAGGGUGCAAGCGUUAUUCGGAGUUACUGGGCGUAAAGAGCGUCGAGACGGUCUGCUAAGUUACCCGUUAAAUAUCCUGGCUUAACCAGGAAACUGCGGGUGAUACUGGUGGACUAGAGUGUAAGAGAGAGAAGUGGAAUUCUCGGAGUAGCGGUAAAAUGCGUAGAUCUCGAGAGGAACACCGGAGGCGAAGGCGGCUUCUUGGCUUACUACUGACGUUGGCGCGCGAAAGCGUGGGGAGCAAACAGG